ensembl:lncRNA
AUGGAGUCGAACCCAGACAGCCCGAGUCGGGCUGUGGAGUAUCUCCUGGAGCUCAAUAACAUCAUCGAGAACCAGGCCAAACUUCUAGAGACACAGCGUAAACGUAUCGAGGAGCUCCAAACGCAGCUAGACCGGGUCAACCAGGAGAACCAGGACCUGCGGCAGGACCGGAACCCGGGAACUGAGAACUUGACGCAGAACCACAACUACAACCAGAGCUCUAAGCCCAGCCAGCCGUCAUCACUACCAAACCACAGUGCUGGAGGUGUCCAUCAGAACAGCAGCAGUAAUAUACCCUCAUCCACGGUGCCUGGUCCAGCUCGACGGAAUCACAGCAGACUGACCCGAGGCCUGUCAUGUGGGUCAGCCCCUGUCGAGGAGAGAGGCCGACUGGAGCGAAAUGACAGCUCUGGGACCAACAACACCUCCACUCUACGGAAACAAAUUGAGGUCAUCAAACUAGGUCCACAGGAGUGUCAUGGUUUCUUUUCAUUUUCUUUGUAUUUGGGGCUUCCCCUCCUCAUGCUGGCUUCCAUUCAGGUGUCUCAAUGUGUCUAAUUUGCAUGUACAAUGUUAGGUUCCGCUUUAUAUUACAUUACUUUAACUAAUAUGAUUAUUUUUAGUACAAUUUGUGCUCAUUUAGAACUUUUACUGCUAGAGAGGUGGAAUAUGGGUAAGGUUAUGGACAGGUUUCCUGGUAUGGUUAUGUUUAACAGUGGGUUAUGGGGUAGAGGGAGGGUCAGCACUGUGUAGUUACAGAGAUUAAAGAUAUAAUAGCAUGCAAUUUAAAAAAAAAAAUAAAAAAUACAAGUAUGAUGUAAAAAUGUGUAUG